CCAUGAACAAAUAAAUAAAAUUGGAUUCUACAUCUUCCGAUCCAAGAUCGUUUCUUGCUCUCAUACUAACUUCUUUGCGAACAGUCACUUUCCCUCCUGCCUGUCUUUUUGGAAUGUCGUAUAGCCCUGCGCACUUAGCUCCAGUGUUGAUCUCCUUGUAACCAUGUCUUUGUAAUAGCUAUAAAAUCAUGCCCGUCAACCUAGAAAUGUGCUAUUAAUUUGUUGAUUUUGUUCUGAAUACAAUGAGCACGCAAGCAAAGAGCCAUGAAUUUAGCUUUAUCACUUGAUUUCACCUCUUGACACUAUUUACAGCUGUUUUCUGUUUGUACAUGCUGUAUUUUCCAGUACCACGCUGAGUAUUGUUAUCCCGAUAGUUCUUUCGUCUCAGUCCGUGUGUAUUCCUGGGCGAAUGUGCUCGUGUGGUCUCAGGAGUUGCGGAGGUCACGGCUCUGGGACAGCCGUUUCAUCGCCCUGUGCUGCAGGGAAAAAGCAAUGCAAGUGCCGUUAAUUUUUUGCAUGGCGAGCUGCUGCAUACUAACCGGUCUCACACCAUUACCAUCACCUUGCCCUUGUGAAGGCAGAUAUGGAUAAGGUUCUCAAAGCUGACAGAAGAUUGAAACCACUCUAAUCCUGUGACGAUGAACCUGCCCCGGAAGAGAGAGCCCAGAGAAUUGCCAAAGCUGUCCGCAAACAGUCAAUAGAAGUGAAGGAAAAUUGGGAACAACUGAAAAUCCGUGCGAGCAACUGGCAGAAACAGGUGGAAAAGGCGUUGGAGAAACUUCAAGAACUGCAGAAAGCUCUGGAUGAUCUUGAGGCUCAUGUGAUAACAGCUGAGGGGGUCCACACUGAUUGGCAACCUGUGGGUGACCUGCUUAUUGACUCAUUGCAGGAUCACAUUGAUAAAACCACAGGUAAGGACUAUCUGCAAAAUCUGUGAUUGGGUUUUGAAAGACAGCAGCCUUUGUUUUGGAGAGAUAAUGGGAACUGCAGAUACUGGAGAAUGCGAGAUAACAACGUGUGGAGCUGGAUGAAGACAGCAGGCCAAGCAGCAUAUUCGGAGCACAAAAGCUGACAUUUCGGGCCGAGAACCUUGUUCAGAAAAUGGUGCGGGUUCUGAAAUAAAUGGGGAGAGAGGGGGAGGCGGAUGGAAGAUGGAUGGAGGAGAGGAGAGUAUGGGUAGGGAGGCAGGGAGGGGAUAGGUCAGUCUGGGGAGGCCGGACAGGUCAAGGGAGCGGGAUGAGGGGAAAUAGGGGUGCGGUAUGAGGUGGGAGGGGGGAUGGGUGAGAGGAAGAAUAGGUUAGGGAGGCGGGGACGAGCUGGGCUGGUUUUGGGAUGCAGUGGCAGGACAGGAGAGUUGGAAGCUUGUGAAAUCCACAUUGAUACCAUUGGGCUGCAGGGUUCCCAAGCAGAAUAUGAGUUGCUGUUCCUGCAACCUUCGGGUGGCGUCAUAAUGGCACUGCAGGAGGCCCAGGUUGGACAUGUCCUCUCGGGAAUGGGAGGGGGAGUUGAAAUGGUUAGUGACUGGGAGGUGCAGUUGUUUAUUGCAAACUGAGCGUAGCUGUUCUGAAAAGCGGUCCCCAAGCCUCUGCAUCGUUUCCCCAAUGUCGAGGAAGCCACAACGGGGACAGCGGAUGUUUUGGAUAUUUCUUAAGCAUUGAUUUUCAUUCAGAGUUGGUUGGAUUUUGCUGAAGCAAUAGACAUAACUCAAUAUGACGUAGACAAUGUCAGAGUUAAUGUUUCGCGUCCUGUGACCCUUCCUCAGAUCUCACUCUUCACUGAUGCUGCCAGACCUGCUGAGCUUUUCCAGCAACUUCUGCUUUUGUUGCUGAUUUACAGUGCCCACUGUUCUUUUUUUUACAACACAGACAAAACUUGAUCUCUGCAGGAAGCAUGAUGCUGCAUUCUCCAACUUCCCUGCCUUUUUGUAAUAUAAUAUUGUCUUUUUAGGACAGAAGUGGCUUUUUUUUGUUUGUUUUAACUUCCGCACAUACUUUCUAUGCAGGUUAAAAGUCUAUACCUUUUCAGUUCUGUGCUGUAUAAUGAAGACUUGGAACAAUUUUUUUUUUAUAAAGUAGAAAAUCAGUGUGGUUUGUUUUCCAAAAUGUGAUGUGUAAGUGCAACGCUUAACAGUGUGUUCAUCAAACUAUUGUUUCCUUUGAUCUUUGUGUUGCAGAAAUUUCUAGAAUCAUUUCAUAUAUAUUUUUCUUGAUAUAUUUUAGCAGCUUUCCUGGAGCAAGUCUGUUUUCCUUCGGAUGAGACGACUUUCAGACAUACUCCCUUUAUUAUGAGAUUUAAUUGCGGUAAAAUGAGGAGGAUUUUUAUUCACUGAGACACACAUGACUAUAUGUUUAAAGCAUUGGCAAAAGAGUUCUGUUCAGACUGUCAUGUUAUCUGGUGUUUGUACCAGGCUUUCCGAUGAAAUGCAAGUGAUUAAGGAUGCUAAUGAUGCCACAUGUUAUUACAAGAGGAAAUGAACAUUCAAGUAAGGAUUUUAUGCCACAUUUAUACAUAGCAUGGACCAUGCAGCAUGGAUGCAGUGACUGAGUGAAAUGGGAUGCAGUGACUGAGUGAAAUGGGAUGCAGUGACUGAGUGAAAUGCUCACACCGACUUGCCCCUCCAGUCCAGAUCCGCUCACUGUGACGAGCCCCUGCAGUCCUGACCCGCUCACAGCGACUUUGCCCCUCACUCCUGACCCGCUCACAGUGACUUGCCCCUGCAGUCCUGACCCCCUCACAGUGACCUGCCCCCUCACUCCUGACCCGGUCUGCAUUGAGGAAACCAAGCAGAGGCUUGGGGACCGCUUUGCAGAACACCUCCACUCGGUUCGCAACAAACAACUGCACUUCCCAGUCGCGAACCAUUUUAACUCCCCCUCCCAUUCCUUAGACGACAUGUCCAUCAUGGGCCUCCUGCAGUGCCACAAUAAUGCCACCCGAAGGUUGCAAGAACAGCAACUCAUAAUCCGCUUGGGAACCCUGCAACCCACUGGUAUCAAUGUGGACUUCACCAGCUUCAAAAUCUCCCCUUCCCCAACUGCAUCCCAAAACCAGCUCAGUUCUUCCCUUGCCCCUACUGCAUCACAAAACCAGCCCAGCUGUUCCCUUCCCCCAACUGCAUCCCAAAACCAGCCCAGCCUGUCUCCGCCUCCCUAACAUGUUGUUCCUCUCACCCAUCCCUUCCUCCCACCUCAAGCCACACCUCAUCCUGCCUCCUUGACCUGUCUGUCUUCCCUGGACUGACCUAUGCCCUCCCUACCUCCUCACCUGUACUCUCCUCUCUACCUAUCUUGUUUUCUCUCCAUCUUCGGUCCGCAUCCCGCCCCCCCUCCCUAUUUAUUCCAGUUCCCUCUCCCAUCCCCCUCUCUGAUGAAGGGUCUAGGCCCGAAAUGUCAGCUUUUGUGCUCCUGAGAUGCUGCUUGGCCUGCUGUGUUCAUCCAGCUCCACACUUUGUUAUCUUGGAUUCUCCAGCUCCCAUUAUCAGUGGCAUUUUCCUCUUCAUCAAAGUUUGUGCAAAAGCAACACGAUAUGGGGCGGCACGGUGGCUCAGCGGUUCGCACUGCAGCCUCACAGCACUGGGGACCCAGGUUCAAUUCCAGCCUCAGUCUGUGUGGAAUUUGCACCUUGUCCCUGUGUCUGCAUGGGUUUCCACCAGGUGCUCCGGUCUCCUCCCACAGUCCAAAGAUGUGCACGCUAGGUGGAUUGGCCAUUCUAAAUUGCCCAUCGUGUUCAGGGGCGUGGGUCUGGGUGGGAUGCUCCAAGGUUUGGUGUGCACUUGUUGGGCCAAAGGGCCUGUAUCCACACUGUAGGGAAUCUAAACAAUCCUGUUCCCACAUCUCCAUGAUAUAACCCUGCUGAUCACUGCACACAGAGAUGUUUGAUAACAAAAGGAUAACAAUAAUAUUCAAACCCAGUGCUGGAGAUGUAUUUUAAAUACACUGAGGCCAGUGUCGAUCUCCAAUUAAACUUUUAUUUACAAAUGAACUGUCUUCAACUUUAGCACUGCCUCAUUCAGAGAUAGUUGCCAGGGUGUCAGCAUCUCUGACCCUCACACUUCUUAUCUGUCAGCCAGGGCUCCCUGAUUUGGGCUGUUAAUAUGGAACAAUCAGGCAACUCAUAUUCUGUGAGGUUCAACUGGCCGACCUGGUCACAAACCAGUGCAGUGUGUUCAUCGAAAAUCAAACGUACCAGAAAGAUACCAUUCCAUACCAGUGCAAAGGAAGGCAUGAGGCGAAACUGGGGAGGGAAGGGAACUGCUUAUUGGCGGUGGCCCAGAGAGUAGAAGAAAAUCGAAUGGGAAGAAGACCAUUUGAGACUGAGGGAGAGAGAUGUAAUUGCCUGAAUGAGGCAUUCCAAUUGCGAAAUGGAUUUUUGUGUGUACACCAUGUUCAGUUUCCCCGAUCUGUGCUCCUCUUUAAAUCAUUAGUAUCUGAAAUUUCUGUAUCAUUUCCAAAUGUUCUGUCUCUAAUGUUAUGCUGUUGGAAUUGGUUGAACUGCAGAGAUUAUUUAUUUGCACAAAUGUGUUCAGUGAAAUGAGUUGCAUGCUAUAUAUUUAUUAUUCUUCCUGAUUCUAUUAUACA